GAGAAUAUUAAAUGGAAAAUUCAAAAAAUAAAGAAUUUCUAAAUUUUAACUUACGUCAUUCUGAAUCGUCCAAUGAAAUCCCACAAACGUGGCUCCUAUUCUUUGUCAGUGGCUUUGCACUGUAUACCCUACCUUCCUGUUAGUCAUUUAGUAACCAUUCUCAGUUAUCAGAUCAACUACUGUGAUAUCACAAUGUUUGUGUUCCAGUAACCUUUCUUAUACUUAGUAAUGGUCUCAAAGCACAAGAGUACUGUAGUGAUUUUAGCAAUGUGAACGUGCCAGUCAGAAGCCUUAAAGUGCUUCCUGCAGAAUUAUUGAGCACUAAUAUAUUAGUAGUUGGUGUUGAGGUGGAAGGACAUCAAACCAAGAAGGGCACAGAUGUCUCCUGUGGUGCCUCACCUGUGUUUUGUCUCAGUGUGGACACGCUCAUCCUUGCUUGGACAUGCUCUCCUCUGAGGCCUGCUCAGCCUGGUUUUAAGCUGUGAAAACCUGAAGAGCAAAACCAGGAGCGAAUAUCACUUCCUGUCUGUGUAUCCAGCACGUCUACUCUCUUAUUCCCACAGAAACAGAAGCUCUGCAGUUCCAUUCAGUAGAGUCAGCAGUUUAUGUGUGUGUUUUAAUACCCUCUUACCGAUUAAUUAUUCCUUUUAAUAAAUGCAAUAAAAAAGAACCGUUAUUGGACUCGUACUUUAAUUGAAUUAAUAAUUUAUUCUGGCUAUUAAUGUUUUAAAAAAUAUUUUGUGUGUUAUUUCUUGUCCUAUUAGACAGAUAUGGCAGAGAGAUAAAAUGUGAGGCUAUAUGGGGACUGUGUGGGUAGGAGCUCCCUCCAUAAUGCAUGGACUGCUGAC
rnacentral:lncRNA from 1 species